GUAAAUCAAAGUUUAGAAACCUACUUGAGGUGUGUUUGCCUCUUACAACCCAAGGAGUGGCAUCGGUGGUUGUUCCUAGCCCAAUGGUGGUAUAACACCAACUAUCAUUUUUCAAUCAAAAUGUCGCCGUUUGAAGCUCUAUUCGGGUACCAACCACCAACUUUACCUGCUGUAGAGGGGGGAUCCAAUGUAGCUACGGUAGAAGAAUACCUUUAGCAGCAACGAAGGUAGAUCACCCAACAACUUAAGCAGGAGUUGGCCUCAACUAGGAACAGGAUGAAGCAAGUAGCUGAUCGCAAGAGAAGUGUAAGGGAGUUUGCGGUGGGAGAUAAUGUGUAUUUGAGGUUGCGGUACCCCAUCUCAAGUCCAUCACUAAGGGGAAGGUGACUAAGCUUAGCCCCAAAUUUUCGGUCCUUUUGCCAUAGAAGCCAAGGUAGGACAAGUGGCAUACCGCUUGAAAUUACUGUAAGGGACCCAAACCCAUCAGUCUUUUUGUCUCUCUCCUCAAGAAAUCCGUGGGGAGCUAACUAGUGAGCAGGGCCCUCCCUACAUUCCCUAAAGAAGCUACCGGGGUGGUGGAACCAGAGGCUAUAAUCGAGAGGAGGGUGGUGUACAAACAAGGGGCUCUGCUCAUUCAGGUGCUGGUUAAGUGGCGAGGCAGCACCUCAGAUUGCAGCACCUGAGAAUAUUUACCCGAUCUCCUAAGGCAAUUUCCCCGAACGGCCAAUCUCCUUAGCAUUUCUUGAGGACAAGAAAUCGGUUGAAGGGGAGGGAAGUUGUCACGACCGUGCCUUAACAGCAGCAUUUUUUAUUUUUCCUUGCAGCGUAAUUCCUCUGUUUUACUUUCUACUUUUGGGGUUUUAUUGUAAUUUCUAGUACCAAGUUUGUUAGCUAAAGAUUCUCCAUGUGGGUGAGGCUGGAAUAGGACAAAACUUAUGGUUACAGCUGUUGGGGGGAGAGGAUCCCCAGCGGAUGCGGCUUUCCCGCUAUAUCAACAUUGAGGCUGCCAUGAGAAGGCAUCGAUUAUGAAAAUUCCAUUCUGAAUCCCAUCUAUCUUUUAGCUCUUAUCCCUCUCUCAGACUCUUUCUUUCUAUUCUCUAUCUCUCUCUCUUCUCGUUCUCUUCGGUAACAUCUCCUCAUUAUCACUCGCGUUCUCCUAUUGUCACCUACGACCGUGAUAGAAGUUAACACCAGAUAUAUAGAGGAUAGUGUUCAUGCAUGUUAUACAUGCCAUUCAUGAAUGUAAAAGCUUUUCUAACCCUUAUUAAGUAGCAAUACUGAGCACAUCUUCGAGAUGCCAGAUAACAUGACUUUCGAGGGAAAGGGAAGGUUGGAAUUUGGAAGACUAGGGAUUGAUGGUUAAUUUGUUUUCUUCUGGCAAUUUGGUAGUCUGUAAAAAUAAUGUUUAAAUGAAGCAAAUGGAUGAAAGUUGUGUUUAGGUUGAACAAAAAUGUUUAUGCAAGUGUUAGUGUGUUACACUCAACAUUGGAAUAGAUAUUUAAGGGUUAAAAAUGAAAUAAAAAGCAAAACCAAGUGGUAUUAAACUGCAGUGUAGAAAACAGGAGGAAAAGUAAUUUUUUUUUUUUUCCUGUGGAAAUGGGUAAGACCCAAUUUUGGCGUUGUUUUCUAGUAUUGAGUCAUAUGUCUCAAAAUAAAGAAAGAACUAAUUAGGCUUAAUCCUUGUGCUUUCAAAAAGUGCAAAAUGAUUUAUCAUUAUUCAUAUUAAAUUUAAAUUGCAGCAGCAAGUGCAUGUCAUCAGAUAAUCUCAUUUUCGUGCUGCUUGUAUUUUAGAAGUAAAUUAAGUGUUAUAAUAGUGUCGUAGACUGCAUUCAUAUAUAUAUAUAUAUCUAUACAAUUCAUCUCCUAAUGUAAAAAUAUUUUACCAGUUAUCUUUGAUUCUCUGAAGGGUAAAGUAGAAGUCUUCAUUCUGAGGAUGAAUUAAUAGUAAUUGACACCUGUCCAGCAUACAUAGGGACGGAAAGAAGUUGUGGUAAUUUUAGGGACAUGCUGCCAGUGUUUGUAUUUUUGUGUAACCUGGAUGACUAGGGCUAUAGUGACCAAAUUACGUGUGAUUGGUUGUUAUGAAUAUAUUUCUUAUCUGAGAAAAAGAAAAAGAGGUACUAUAAAUUCAGUGCUUUUACAUGCUAUUUUACAGCUAAUUCACCCACAAGGACUUGGAAGAUUACAUCUAUAUUUGGGAGCCGAGCGUCUGAAGCGGCUUCAGUUGAUAAAUCUCUCAAUGAAACUGUUAAAGAUACUGAAUGUGCGCCUUCUGGUAAAGAUACUGAAUGUAUGGCUUCUGUGAUCCAACUUAGAGAGCCGCCUUCUGUCUUAAGGCCACCAGAAUCACAGACAGAUAAUGAAGCAGUGGAAGUAAUUGUAACCAAAUUACUUUUAUGUUCUUACUUUGACAUUGUCAGAAAGAACAUUGAAGAUUUUGUUCCAAAAGUUAUAAUGCAUUCCUGGUAUGCUUUGAAUUUUGCUUUGUCCUCAUUCUUGUGGAAAUCUAUAUUUUGGGGUAUGCAAUAUUCCAAUCAGACUUGAAGUUGAUUGGAUUUUUCUUUCCUCUGGAUCUGGUUAUCUCAUGAUCUGUUGCGUUGCAUGUGCUGCAGGUCAACUAUACGAAAAGGGAUCUCCUUGGGAACUUUAUAAAAAAAUUAUACGGAGAGAGUCUUUUUGAAGAGCUGUUGCAGGAGCAAGAUGAGGUUGCCAUUAAAAGAAAACGGAGAAGAGAACUGUUUCAUGUUCUGCAAGAAGCUGUUCAGACACUUGAUGAGGUUGAAGCUGACGUGUCUUCUUCGCAAGGUGGUUCAAGCUUUAGGUAAAGAUAGUCUGACUGGAUUGCCAAAUGGUGAGAAGAGACCCAUGAACUCUGCAGCUCGCUGGUUAUUCUAGGCCCAGGAGCACUUGUUGCCAUGGUGAUCUAGACGGGGAAUUUAACGAAUGCUAAGGGGGGAAUUCAUCAUAUAGAUUUAUGCCGUAUGUUGUAUAUUAUGUUGCUUUGAGCCCCAUAACCAAUUUUUAACCUAAUUUGGGAGGAUCUACCACUAUUCUAUAAUAUAAUAGUAAUAAUAAUAGUUUGUUUGUGCUUUCCUUGUA